rnacentral:lncRNA from 1 species
GACUCGGCGAGUAGUUUGAAGAUUUCCCGUUAAUCACUCAGUGAGUGGACUUGCUGAGUUGGGGUAUAACUCAGUGAGUCAGGGAGAGUCAGGGGGGACUGAGUUCAAGUGGAACUCGCCGAGUUGUUCUUGAGACUCGGCGAGUUGAGUCGGGGUGGCCCCUCGAUUCAUGCCAGGUGGAACUCGUCGAGUCAGGGGAAGAACUCGACGUGCCAAGAGAGGGAUUAAGAGAGUCAGUGGACACGUGUGGACUCGCCGAGUUGCCCUAGUGCACUCGACGAGUCGGGUCAAAGUUUGACCGUUGACCUUGUUGACUCUUAGGGUUGAGUACAGUUGUAUUUAUGAGAGUAUUUACUUUGUGUGAUUAGGCGGAGGCUAGAUCACAUUUCUUCCGAGACAGAUACUUAUCGAGACCGCGAGGUGAGUCUUCUCACUAUACGUUACCUAGAGUGGUAUAUUUGUGUGGACCAGAGGGUCUUAUGUGCUAUGUAUGAGAUUAUGUGCUAUGUGUUAUGUGUAUGUUGUAUGAUGUUAUAGACCGGACCGAAGGGUCCAACGAUACAGACCGGGCCGAAGGGCCCAACGAGCUAUGACCGGACCAGAGGGUCCAACGAGCUACGGGACUGGAGGGUCCCGCUGAGACACAUCGACCGGAGGGUCGUAUUAUAGCCUCGAGUGGCGUAUGUGUUGUAUGUGGUAUUUUGGGGAACUCACUAAGCAUUUAUGCUUACAGUUGUUGUGUGAUGUGUUUCAGGUACCAAUGAUGAGCGCGGGAAGGCGCCGACAUGAUUCGUACACACUUGAGGAGUUUAUGUUUUGGAUUAUGGGGAGAUGUUUUUGUGAUAAAUACAUUUGAUACAACAUGUUUGAUGUUAUUUUGUGAGUAAAUGAAUGUUUUGAAAUGAAAAAUUGUUUUGAAAAGUUACAUUGUUACAAGUUGGUAUUAAAGCCUUGGUUUGAGGGAUUCGGAUGCAUCUUCGGGCGUAUCUGAACACAAACUGAGGAUUUGAGGAAAUUUUGAUAAUGAAGUAAAAUUUUUAAAAAGAGUAAAAAGAGUUUUGAGACAAACAGAGUAGAGUCGUGUGUACGAUCAGCCAGCGCCCGAACGGUGAAUCCCCAAAAGUACCCUUACAUUAUGUGUUAUGAGAUAUGUUAUGUUACAUUAUGCAUGCUAGAGUAGGCUAGGUAUACAUAUUAGGACUAGAGUGGCCUGGUUUGUGAUGCCUUAGCCUAGGAGAUUUCUGCUGCUGAGAUGCUUUGAGAGCAAGUAGAUAGCAGUUAGGAGCUUAUGAAAAUAGAGUACUUGUAAUCUAAGAUCCAAGGAGGAGGACUUGGAGUGAAUGUUGAUGCGGUGUGGUCAGUAGUAUUGGGCCCGUACUAUUGAAGACACCGGAUCAGUGAGCAUUCGAAGUAAGAAUCUUUUGGACAACGAAGGAGAAGUAGGGUUGCGUCAUCGAAUAUGUGUAUGCUCGAUCGAGUCUCUGAUAAAUUUUGUUGUAUUUCAGAGGCAUCAUGGUUGGGACUCGACACACACCUGAGAGCAGUGGUGUCAGCGACGAGGAGAUCCGUCGGUUGAUUCAUGAGGAGGUGGCCGCUGCCAUCCGGGCUGAGAUUCCUGAGAUGUUUGGGGACAUCAAGACCACGUUGAUUGAGACUUUUGAUGAGCGGUAUGCGACGCUGACCGAGGCUGCUGCAGCUGCAGCUACUGCUGCUGUUGUUGCUGCCAGACCUCAGGGGGGGUGACUCGUUGUUGUUCUGGGAGUUCAGCAACACGAAGUCACCAGAGUUCGACGGGACGCAGGACCUGAUUGCCGCUAUGAGGUGGAUCUCCGACAUCGAGGGAUAUUUUUAUACAUGUUCUUGUCCAGAGCACUUGAGGGUUCGGUUCGCCUUGAACCAUCUCCGCCUGGGAGCGAAGGAUUGGUGGAAGUUCGUGACGGCGAACUUCACUUUGGAUGAGAUUUCCGAGGUGAGCUGGGAGAGGUUCACCACUAUGUUCGGAGAUGAGUAUGUUCCUCCGGUGGAGAGGGAACGGUUGAUCCAGGAGUUCUUCACCCUCAAGCAGGGUACUGAUUCUGUGACAGUGAUCACCAGGAAGUUUCAUGAGAGGGCGAUGUUUUGCCCUGAGCAGGUGUCUUCUGAGCAGGAUCGCAUGAGCCGUUAUCUGGGUGUUCUGAGGAGAGAUUCGGGAGUUCGUGGCGAACUCGACAUACCGGACAUUUGCUGAGCUUCAACCAAAUGCCCGGAAGAGGGCGAUUGAGUUGGAGACUCAGGCCAGGGAGGAGGCCGAGUCACAGAGGGUGGAUCGGCGACCGGAUCAGUCUCAGCCAGCAGCCAAGCGGGCUAGACUCGCUGAUUCGAGAUCUGGGGGCGCGAAGGGCCGCACUUGUGGGAAGUGAGGUAAGAGCCACGAGGGGUCGUGCAGGGCAGGGGUAUGCUACAAAUAUGGGAAGGAGGGGCAUAUCGCGAGGGAUUGCCCCAAGGUAUUUUCGGUUUGCUUUCAUUGCAUCCAGACCGGCCAUCGGAAGGCCGAGUGCCCGCAGCUUCUUUAGGGAUCAGCGCAAUGAUCUGUGCAUGCUGCUAGGACUACCGAGGUUCGGCCGGUGAAGGCCGAGGCCCCGAAGGCUCGUGGGAGAGCAUUUCAGUUGACCGCGGAGGAGGUCCACGCGGCGCCUGAUGUUGUGGCUGGUAUGUAUUCUCUUUUCAUCUUUUAUUUGAGUUGAGUUUUAUGCUUAUAUGAUGAUAUGCGUAGGUACUUUUCUUGUGAGUUCUGUGCCUGCUUUGGUAUUAUUUGACUCGGGUGCGAGUCGGUCGUUUGUUUCCAUAACAUUUAGUCAGCAUAUUAGUACCCGUCGAGAGGCGUUGGACCGGCCUCUGCGAGUUUCCAUAGCUGAUGAGCGAUCAGUGUAUGCUUCGGAUGUGAUUCGAGGAUGUGUACUUGAGAUCUUCGGUGUGGAGUUUCCGAUAGAUUUAGUCCAGUGUAUGGAGGAUGUGUCCUUGCGAUGGGGGACGUGUGUGUGAUAGUGGGUAUGGAUUGGUUGAGCCGAUAUCGAGCUGUGAUAGACUGCGAGCGUCAAUUGGUGACGAUUCGAGACCCUAGUGGGGGAGUUCUUACGGUGUACGACAAGGGUACACCUACGGGGUCAGCAUUUUGUUCGGCCGCUAGAGUGAGGCAGAGUCUACAGCAGGGCUGUAGAGGAUUUGUGGCAUAUGUGAUGGAUACGAGGGUUGGUUCAGAGGGACCGAAGUCAGUGGAUGAGGUCCCGAUAGUGUGUGAGUUUCCGGAUGUGUUUCCAGAGGAGUUGUCGGGUGUGCCUCCGGAGGGGCAGGUAGAGUUCGGUAUUGAUUUGGUUCCGGGAACUGCGCCUAUCGCCAAGGCGCCUUAUCGCCUUGCGCCUUCGGAGAUGCAGGAGUUAUCCUCGCAGCUUCAAGAGCUGCUGGGGAAGGGGUUUAUCGCCCUGGGGGGCGCCCAUUCUUUUUGUCAAGAAGGACGGUUCGAUCUGGAUGUGCAUUGAUUAUCGUGAGUUGAAUAAGCUAAUAGUCAAGAACCAUUACCCAUUGCCGAGGAUCGAUGAUCUGUUCGAUCAGUUGCAGAGAGCAUCUUGGUUCUCCAAGAUCGAUUUGAGGUCUGGGUAUCAUCAGGUGAGGGUGCGGGAGGAGGACGUCCCGAAGACAACAUUCCGGACUCGUUAUGGGCAUUACGAGUUCGUGGUGAUGCCUUUCGGGCUCACCAACGCACCGGCGGUGUUCAUGGAUCUCAUGAACAGGGUGUGCAGACCGAUGUUGGAUCGCUCGGUGAUCGUGUUCAUCGACGACAUAUUGGUGUAUUCGAGAUCCAGAGAGCAGCAUGAGGAGCAUUUGAGGGAGAUCCUCGGAGUUCUGAGAUCGGAGAGGCUUUAUGCCAAGUUAUCCAAAUGUGAGUUCUGGCUGCGAGAGGUUCAAUUUUUGGGGCAUCUCGUUAACCAGAAGGGGAUAUUGGUCGAUCAGGCCAAGACUGAGGCGGUUAUGAGGUGGGAGGUGUCGAGGUCACCCACCGAGAUCAGGAGUUUUCUGGGUUUGGCCGGCUAUUAUCGGAGAUUUAUUAAGGAUUUCUCCAAGAUUGCCGUGCCACUCACCAAGUUGACCCGGAAGGGUGUUCCGUUUUCUUGGGGUCCGGAGCAGCAGACCUCGUUCGAGACACUUCGCAGGAAGUUAUGCGAAGCCCCAGUGUUAGCCCUUCCGGAAGGGAUGGAGGAUUUUGUGGUAUAUUGUGAUGCAUCGAUAUCCGGAUUGGGAGCGGUGCUUAUGCAGAGGGGGCAUGUGAUAGCAUAUCCAUUGAGGCAGCUUAAGUCUCAUGAGUCGAGAUAUCCCACUCAUGAUUUGGAGCUGGGAGCGGUAGUGUUCGCUCUCAAGAUCUGACGACAUUAUCUGUACAGGGUUCGGUGUACGAUAUACACGGACCACAAGAGCUUGAAGUAUCUGAUGGAUCAGCCCAACCUGAAUAUGCGCCAGAGGAGGUGGUUGGACGUGGUCAAGGAUUAUGAUUGUGAGAUCCUGUACCACCCGGGCAAGGCUAAUGUUUUAGCCAAUGCACUGAGCCGUAGGGCGGAGAGCGCCCCAAUGCGAGAUGUUUGUUUGAGAUUGACGGUGAUGAACCCGAUAUUGGAUGCUAUUCGUGGGGCCCAGGCUGAGGUUGUGCAUCCCAAGAGCCAGAAGAGAGAGCGAGUUGUCGGGCUGGUAUCGGAUUUCGUUACCGAUAGCCGGGGGCUUAUGACAUUUCAGGGUCGGAUUUGGGUACCGUCCGUGGGCGGUACGCGUACCAUUUUGAUGGAGGAGGCCCAUCGAUCGAAAUGCUCGAUCCAUCCCGGGGCCACUAAGAUGUAUUUGGACCUGAAAAAGGAUUAUCAGUGGCCCUGUAUGAAGAGGGAUGUCGCAUGGUUUGUAGAGAGAUGCUUGACCUGUCGCAGGGUUAAGGCCGAGCAUCAGCGUCCACAUGGUAAGUUGCAGCCAUUAGAGAUUCCCGAGUGGAAAUGGGAACAAAUUACCAUGGACUUCAUCACCAAAUUGCCGAGGACUGAGGCGUCGAUGCAAUUUGGGUGAUUGUGGACAGGUUGACAAAGAGUGCUCACUUCCUAACCAUCAGUGAGAGCUCUUCCGCGGAGAAGUUGGCGGAGAUGUACGUGAGAGAGGUGGUAUCGCGGCAUGGAGUUCCGAUCUCGAUUGUCUCAAAUCGAGAUGUACGUUUCACGUCCAGAUUCUGGAAGAAUUUUCACGAGGAGUUGGGUAUGAGGCUGCAUUUCAGUACUGCAUACCACCCACAGACGGACGGGCAGAGUGAGCAGAUGAUUCAGACGCUCGAGGAUAUGCUUCGGGCAUGUGUAUUGGAUUUCGGAGGGAGUUGGGACACGUAUUUGCCCUUGGCGGAGUUUUCUUAUAACAACAACCAUCAUUCGAGCAUUGGCAUGCCGCCCUUUGAGCUAUUGUAUGGGAGGAGAUGUCGGACCCCUAUUUGUUGGGGAGAGGUAGGGCGUCGUGUGAUGGGUAGUACUAAGAUCGUGCUUCAGACGACGGAGCAGAUCCAACAGGUCUGACAGAGGUUGUUGACCGCUCAGAGUCGUCAGAAGAGUUAUGCGGACAGACGGCGGUCCGAGCUCGAGUUAUAGGUCGGCGACUUCGUGCUCCUGAAGGUCUCUCCUUGGAAAGGAGUGAUCCGUUUCAGGAAGAGGGGCAAGUUGGGGCCCCGAUAUAUUAGUCCUUUUAGGGUGAUCGCGAGGGUAGGCAGGGUAGCCUAUCGUUUAGAGUUGCCAGCAGAGUUGGGUCAGAUUCAUGACACUUUCCACGUGUCGCAGCUGCGAAAGUGUAUAGCCGACGAGAGUAUUUACUUUGUGUGAUUAGGCGGAGGCUAGAUCACAUUUCUUCCGAGACAGAUACUUAUCGAGACCGCGAGGUGAGUCUUCUC